rnacentral:rRNA from 1 species
UGGGGAAUAUUGGACAAUGGGCGCAAGCCUGAUCCAGCCAUGCCGCGUGAGUGAUGAAGGCCCUAGGGUUGUAAAGCUCUUUCACCGGUGAAGAUAAUGACGGUAACCGGAGAAGAAGCCCCGGCUAACUUCGUGCCAGUAGCCGCGGUAAUACGAAGGGGGCUAGCGUUGUUCGGAUUUACUGGGCGUAAAGCGCACGUAGGCGGACUAUUAAGUCAGGGGUGAAAUCCCGGGGCUCAACCCCGGAACUGCCUUUGAUACUGGUAGUCUUGAGUUCGAGAGAGGUGAGUGGAAUUCCGAGUGUAGAGGUGAAAUUCGUAGAUAUUCGGAGGAACACCAGUGGCGAAGGCGGCUCACUGGCUCGAUACUGACGCUGAGGUGCGAAAGCGUGGGGAGCAAACAGG